rnacentral:lncRNA from 1 species
ACCCCUUGAUUUCAAUUCACUGAUCUUCAAUCGAAAAAGUCAUGUUGUGUGCGUAACAGUUUCAUGUGUAUGUGGAGUAUCAAUGAGAUGUAAAUAAGUGGCCCUGAAUUCUGUAGUUUUGCCCAGGUGGCUCUCCUCCUCUAUCAUGGGAGGAUCUCCUCCAAAGUACUAUGUAAAUUUGAGGUAAGUACCUUUUCCUUUUCUGCUGGAAAUUUUCUGAAAUUCACUCUCUCGGUAUUCUUGAGUUUUGUUGUAAUUGGUCACUUAUCUCCCCCUCUUUUUCAUAGAUUGAUUCAUGGAGUGCUGUCCUGUGGCUUGACAGAGACACAGUACACAAGUUUCCGUCAAGCAGCCAACAUUGGGUCAGAGGUAGGAAAAACCUUUGACACAGGUUAGUAAUGCACUUUCUCUAAUGCUCCUAAAAUCAUAUUGUACUUCUUCUUGCAAGCAAAUGGCAAGAUAUAGCAUAGUUCAUGAACUCAAAGAUUGCACAAUUUUCUGUAAAAAUGGAAAACCAGAAGCAUUAUACUUACUAUUAUUAAUACUGAUUUAUUAAUUUGUUUUUCUUUAACUUUUUUAUUUAUUACUCGGAGAAAUCAUAUCAAUUGCCAUGCAGGGUCACGGUACAAGCAGAAUGGUUAUGUAAUGAGUAAAAAGGUAUGUAUGUUUGUAUAUUAUGUGAAUAGAUAAAGCAUCAUUUCUGCAGAUGUACCAACAUGCCAGGAAUCCAAAUCGCCCGGCAGAGACCAAGGUGCUUACUGCAAAGACAUUCAAAUUCAGCAAAACUAUCUGGUCUACCCUUUUUAUAUAAUCUAAAUAACUGAUGUCCAUUCUGCUUUCCAGUGAUUCUGACUUUCUGUGAUGAUUUUAAAUGGGAGCCCAAAUGUCUUGUAAAAGAUGUGAGGUAACCAGGGAGGAAUAAAUCCACAGCUUGAGCAGAUUUAAGCAUUGGGCUAAAGGGCUUUUUUUCAGUCAUUUAUUUCGGGUUUUGCUCAAAGCAGGCCUGCGGCCCACGGCCCACGGCCCAGUGGCCUGACAGCCUGAAGGCGCGGAGGCGCGGUGGCCAAGUCCUGAUUUUCAACAGAUUUUUUGUCCAGCAGUAAAUCCACAAGCAUGCACAGAUCUGCAUCGGGUUUGGGCGUGCAAAAUGGAUGACAGUGAGCUUGAAUUCGUUUACCAUUUAAUCAUUUGAAUUCUUGUUUCUGUUUGUUGCAUGUUGUUCAGAUAAAAACGUUUUGAUUCUCUGUUCAUUAGUCUCUUUACAGAAACCGAUAGCACAGUAGAGGACUUUCAUUAUGAUGCAGGUUAUUUUUAAACCAUACUUUAAAAGUGAAAAUAUCAUAACAACAAAGGAAAGGAAAUAUGAACCAAGGGUAAAAUUGAAGCAGAACACAAACAAGAAAAUUUGAAUCUCUUGAUGGAGGGGUUUGAUUUUUUCACUUUUCGCCAUGAUCGAAAAUUACUCCUUUUACACCCGAAAUAAUGCACCGUAUUUCUUUGCAAGCCUCGAAUAAGGAGCUGCCUCCUUGAUGUCCGAAAGCAUAACGUUGGAAAAUCGAUUGGUCACCCAACUGAGAAGCAGAGUUCGCUUGUUGACCUUGGUGACAAUGAUGAAAAUGAUUCUCAGAUGAUGGAGCUUCUGAAACAAAUGAGCUGACAAUGUCAAUUGGAAGUAUGGUGUGCUGAAACUUUGGAGAUCAGUGUUAAUGUCACAACAUGGACAGCUGGGUAUGCCAUUCCCUAUCAUGCAAAUUUGCUGUUUACAAUUAAUAGGGUGGGCUAUGGCAUUGUCUCUUUGCAGGCUAAAGAGGCCAAACAUUCUGGAGUGAAGAAAGAUUUGACCUUAACUAACCAGUCAAUUGUAAGUACCACCACUGUUAAAAUGGUGGCAAGUAAUGCAAAGUAAUUAUGUUCACUCAUUUUACCUUCCAGAACAUCAACCAAUGCCCUCUUCUUAUACCUCACACUACCAAUCGCGUUCUCCGCCACACUGUUACCAAUCAAAUGUUUGUAAUUGUGGUAGAAAUAAAGAAAAUGAUUUCCUCAGUUGUCAAGUUUGUUUGUCGAGUAUUGACCUUGUGACUUGUGCAAGCAGCAGAGGCCUGACAGAUUCAGUGUUGUGUGCACUAAAACCCGUUGUCUGUCAACAGUGCAAUACUCACUUUGCUGAUAACUUAUCACUGUCAUCUCAUUCUGCAAAGCCACUGAGGUAAGGUAAGAAGUGUAGCUAUCAAUCCAACUUUGAUGACAGUACCUGGUUUAAAGGAAGCUUUACAUAGUAUAGGAUUGAGCACAGGUAAUAAGGAAAUUCUAAUCAAUCGCCUUGAAGGUGCAUUGGCUGGGGAAGGGUAGUUCAGUUAUUUUUAAUCAACAGUUUCAAUCUCCCUAAAUAUUUGAUUUUAAUUUUAUUUUUCUUGGUCAAGUUGGUGCACAGUUAGGCAUACUUGCUAUGAGAAUGAUAACUAAGCUCUCAACAAAUUCUGUGUACCAGUAAUGUGAGUAAAAUGCCUACUUAAUAAGAAAAAUGUAUUAAAAUUGGUGCAAAAUUGUUUAAAUUAGCUGUUUGCCAGGGAGGUUAAACCUGUCAGAAUGAAAAAGUACUGUUGUCACUGAUAUCACCUUGUAUGCGCUGAUAUAUUACAUAGAAAACUAUACAAACCCAUUAUUAUUAUUUUUUUUUUGUUUUUACCAAUUUGCAUUUUAGAGGCAGGGUUUCUGCUCUAAUGUACAUAAAGGUUUGGCCAUCUAACCCUCAUCCUCGGAGACCCAGGGGCUGUGGGUC